UCUGGNUCAACUGGGGGCGUGCGGUGGGUACGGGCUGGCUUGAGUGCGGUAGGGGAGGCUGGAACUCCUGGUGUAGCGGUGGAAUGCGCAGAUAUCAGGAAGAACACCGGUGGCGAAGGCGGGUCUCUGGGCCGUUACUGACGCUGAGGAGCGAAAGCGUGGGGAGCGAACAGGAUUAGAUACCCUGGUAGUCCACGCUGUAAACGUUGGGCACUAGGUGUGGGGGCCACCCGUGGUUCCCGCGCCGUAGCUAACGCUUUAAGUGCCCCGCCUGGGGAGUACGGCCGCAAGGCUAAAACUCAAAGGAAUUGACGGGGGCCCGCACAAGCGGCGGAGCAUGCGGAUUAAUUCGAUGCAACGCGAAGAACCUUACCAAGGCUUGACAUGCGCCCCGGGCGCGCGGAGACGCGCGCGCAUUUGGUUGGGGGUGUGCAGGUGGUGCAUGGUUGUCGUCAGCUCGUGUCGUGAGAUGUUGGGUUAAGUCCCGCAACGAGCGCAACCCUUGCCCUAUGUUGCCAGCGCGUUGUGGCGGGGACUCGUGGGGGACUGCCGGGGUUAACUCGGAGGAAGGUGGGGAUGACGUCAAAUCAUCAUGCCCCUUAUGUCUUGGGCUUCACGCAUGCUACAAUGGCCGGUACAGAGGGUUGCGAUGCCGUGAGGCGGGGCGAAUCCCUUAAAGCCGGUCUCAGUUCGGAUUGGGGUCUGCAACUCGACCCCAUGAAGGUGGAGUCGCUAGUAAUCGCAGAUCAGCAACGCUGCGGUGAAUACGUUCUCGGGCCUUGUACACACCGCCCGUCACGUCACGAAAGUUGGUAACGCCCGAAGCCCAU
rnacentral:rRNA from 1 species